UUAUUACCUUCGGGUAAUGAAGGGCGACGAGUGGCGGACGGGUGAGUAACGCAUAGGAAUCUGCCCAGUAGUGGGGGACAACUCCGGGAAACCGGAGCUAAUACCGCAUACGCCCUACGGGGGAAAGCGGGGGAUCUUCGGACCUCGCGCUAUUGGAUGAGCCUAUGUCUGAUUAGCUUGUUGGUAGGGUAACGGCCUACCAAGGCAACGAUCAGUAGCUGGUCUGAGAGGAUGAUCAGCCACACUGCGACUGAGACACGGCGCAGACUCCUACGGGAGGCAGCAGUGGGGAAUAUUGCACAAUGGGCGCAAGCCUGAUGCAGCAAUGCCGCGUGUGUGAAGAAGGCCUGCGGGUUGUAAAGCACUUUCAGUAGCGAAGAAAAGCUCGAGGUUAAUACCUUCGGGUCUUGACGCUAGCUACACAAGAAGCACCGGCUAACUCCGUGCCAGCAGCCGCGGUAAUACGGAGGGUGCGAGCGUUAAUCGGAAUUACUGGGCGUAAAGCGCGCGUAGGCGGUUUGGUAAGUCGGAUGUGAAAUCCCCGGGCUUAACCUGGGAAUUGCAUUCGAUACUGCCUGACUAGAAUGUGAUAGAGGUAAGUGGAAUUCCCGGUGUAGCGGUGAAAUGCGUAUAUAUCGGGAGGAACAUCAGUGGCGAAGGCGGCUUACUGGAUCAACAUUGACGCUGAGGUGCGAAAGCGUGGAGCAAACAGGAUUAGAUACCCUGGUAGUCCACGCCCUAAACGAUGUCAACUAGUCGUUGGGUCCUUAAGGAUUUAGUGCGCAGCUAACGCGA
rnacentral:rRNA from 1 species